UGGGAUGAUGAUUCAAUAGACUAGAGUCUCUGAUGAAGCCAUGAAGCUCCUUCACAGUGCACUGACCA
ensembl:snoRNA